CCCAACAUAAAAACAACAAGCUUUUAUUAAAAGAACACAAAAACAAAUAAAAUAAAAACAUACCCACAACUUUAUCUUACCUCAAGAACCAAAUCCAAGAGCAAAAAAAGAGUUUAAAAAUUCAAUCAAGGUCAAACAAAAUCAACCAUCCCACAGAGCAGAAAUUACAUAGGUAUUCGAGAAAAUCAGUCAUGUCACAAACUAAGCAUCUAAUCACAGAACAGAAGUUUAGAAAUUCAGCUUUCCUCGGGUGCUAAAUUGCAAUUAAAAAUAAAAACACUAAUUAAUUGUCAAUCUCAAGAGAACCUAAAUCCCAAAAAUUAGGCCAGAAACCUAAAUUACGUGCAUUGAAUAGUUCCAGAUGCAUGAAAUCAAUGAAAAAAAUUACCAAACAAAAAUAGUAAUCAGGAAAGACCAAGUAAAGAAUACACAAAAAUGUACAUAUUUAUCGUUCAUUCGUGUGGUCGCCGGAAGAAAAAAAACGGGAAUAAAGAACAAAGCUCGAGAUUUACAGCUGCGCCUAAACAUUUGCUCUCUUUCAUUGCAAAGAAACCAACAACAAUAGAAAAAAAAAUAAUCAUAUAAGUUUCGCCUCAUAUUUUCCUCAUUUACCUCAGUUUUCUGAGCAACCAAACAAAAACUAAAAGAUGGACUAGAAAGCGAAUCUAACUUGAAUAGUGUAAGAGAGCUCAUAACAGAGUGGAAAUCUCUAAAUGAAGGCGAGAACCUGGAGAUGAAAUCGCUUUAUCUGAAGAAAUUUGCGGAUCAGUAGUACGGCGACACGCGUGAAUCGAUUACAGCUUACAAGCUUUCAAUUUUUCAUUGAGAAAUUCACACAACAGAGAGAGAAGAGAGAGAAGAGAGCGAAGCUAAGGACUCUCUGUGACUUUCUCUCCUUUUGCCCUAACCUGGGUUCCCCAAAUUUCAGAGUCGAGUGUCGCGUGGGCUUUAUCUGAAGAAAUUUGCGGAUCAGUAGUAUGGAGACACGCGUGAAUCGAUUACAGCUUACAAGCUUUCGAUUUUUCACUGAGAAAUUCACCCAACAGAGAGAAAAGAGAGAGAAGAGAAAGAAGCUAAGGACUCUCUCUGACUUUCUCUCCUUUUGCCCUAACCUGGUUUCCCCAAAUUUCACAGUCGGGUGUUGUGUGGGUUUUGCUAACUUGUUUAAGAUUUUUGUGUUUAUUUAUUAAAAGCACAACCCGUGACAUGGAGAGGGAGAUGGCUGCUGACAUGGAUGUGGAGGGGUAAUUUUGGAAAUGAAAUUAUAAAACAGUACAUAGUGCAUGAAAAGGAUAAUUUUUUGGGCAACAGUAGACAUAUUUUGGGUUAUGGAAAGUUGGGUUAUGAAAAAGCUAUUAGGCCCAAAUGGGCGGGCCAAAACACAGUUUUCCCUAUAUUGUAUCAUAAGAAAAAGAAAGGAAAAAAAAAGAGUGGAGGGGGAGGGGGAGAGAUGGGGGGCUAUGUUGUAAACAACAGGGUAGCCUGUGUAAAGCCCCCAGUUUUUACUUAGAGACCUCAUUACCCAUUAGGAAAAGGGUCAGUGACCUAUUAUUAAUAAUGCAAAAUUACCCAAAGAUGGAUAUUUGAAUUUUUUUUUUUUUUUUGGAGAAUUUAAGAAUUGUUGACACAAUAUAGUGAAACUGCAUAUACAAAUAUUGGGGUCAUUAGUUCACAUGACUUAAGCGAUUAAGAACAUUGAAGAGGAGACAUGUUGCUUGAUAAGCCCACCUGUCUACAUCUUGAGCAGCCACAGUUUGUUGCUCAUGAGACUUUUUGGAAGACACCUCCAGGGAUAAGAUUGAGUAAUUUAAAUUCCAUUAACAGAGUUCCUCUCUUUCAUUAGCCUUUAGGCCCUUAGGAAUCAAGCUUAAACUCGAAAGAUUCUAAAAUCUUACUCCCUUCUAACCUCAGGAAAGUUUUGAGAGCUUAGGUAUCCACAAAUAUCUUGGUACAUUCUAACAAGUCCUAUACCACUUUCCACCAUUCAAUUUAUCCCAAAAUAGCAUAAAUGUCAAGGGGAUACAGGAGACCAGAACUAAUAAAGGCAAUGACAUUAAACGGGAGAAAAAAAUAUCAAAGCAUGAUAGAAGAGUUAAAUACUUAAACAAGUUAGUGUUGGUAUUUUAAUUAUAGUAUUCCAUUAAUACAGUACCAAAAUACUGGAUGCCAUAUACUUUUGUCUAACAAUGGAUGGAAUAAUAGAUAUACAAGCACAAGAAAUAUGUUUCACUAACAUGAAAAUGAAAUUUAUGAAAGGUGGCUAGAUUCGAGAAAUACAAACAGGAUAGAACACCUAUGAAGCAUGAAAUAUUUUUGAACACAAACUUUAACAAAUCCAUAACAUGAAUAAAUGUUUGGAACCACCACACUAGAUCAGCAAUCUGUAGCUUCUCAAUAUCAUAACUGUUACAGCUAUAUUCGACUUCUAACCAUAUAAGCUAAGCCUAUGUUUUGUUUCUAGAAAGUUUUAAGGAAAAAAAAUAGAGCAGAGAAAUAUAAGAAAAAAUUAUAAAAGUUUUCUUUUAUUUGAUUGUCCAUUGAAAAGUUGAAGGAAAGAAAAUUAAAUUGCUAAAGAAUGUAAUUUCCACUAACUUUCCUCAUUUUUUGUUAAGGAAAAUGGACACCACCACCACCCCAACCCUUUUCUUUCGUUUUUUUUUUCUUCAUCUUUCGCAUGGUACCCAAACAUGAGAAAACCAUUUUCACUAGCAUUUUUUCCUUUCCUUUUCUUAUUACUUUCCAAGAACCAAACAUAAGGUAAGUUUAUGACACCCUUUCUAACACAACCAUUAAUAGACGGCUCAAGGUACUUCUAACAGUGAAAGAAGAAUUUCACAAAUACUUAUAGUAAAUUACAGAAUAAGCCAAAAGUGAAGAUAACAUCUAUUAAUACCUGCCUUCUUCAUCUUCCAAAUUCUGAAGAUGUUGUUUUUCAUCUUCACUUAAGUCCAAUGCAACUUGGACGUAGGAAAAAUUAGAACAAAAAAAUAAUCAAGCAUUCUUUUCUCAGCAUCAUCAUGCAAAAUUUUCCACCAUAGCAUAAAAGGAAAUCAUGAAGAAAAAUAAAAAAUGAAAAAAUAAUACGCAUGCUCUCUACAAUAAUAACAAUAAAGGCAAACUACUCCAACAAAUUAUUAGAAAAAAUUGGAAAAAAUAAAAUUCAGAGAAUGGAAAUCCAUUUUCACCUCCAUAUAAAAUACACCAUGAAAAACAUUGGAAUCUAGUAAAGCUCUAGGUAAAAGAGGUAUUUCAGGCCAAUUUAAGAGCUCUAUCAGAAAUUCAAAUGCCCAUUCUGAAAUAGAAAAUUUAAAAUCUAAUUGAAACUUAACUUUGCAAUCCGAGUACCAUAAAAACAUUGAAAAAGUCACACAAAUACUCGCAUAAUCUUAUCAAUCGAAAGGUUAUAAUACAAGGUGCAAAACACCAGAAUCAGAAAUAAGUUUCACAUUCUACAAAACUUACACUAAAAAGAGAAAGUUAAAAGGUCACAGACAGUCGAAAAUAACCAGAAAAUAAAGGAAAAUAAAAGAAAAGGGACCUGUUUGGCGAUAAGUUCUCUCUUAGAGUGGGAUGGGAGUUGGGAGACACUCAUCUAAUAUAUAGGGAAAGUUGUGUUUUUUUUCCCUCCCUCUGUUUUCUGGAUCUAGGGGUCUCUUUGCUUUUGUGCCAUUUGAAUUAAAUUUCACAAACCCUAAACCCACGAUUUUUUUAGCCAGGCUGAAAAAUACCACCUUUGCCUGCAAAUCGUGAUCAGAUUACCAAAUAGCAUCUUAUUGUGCCAUUGGAAUUAAAUUUCACAAACCCUAACCCACGAUUUUUGAACCAGGCUCAAAAACACCACAUUUGCCUGGAAAUCGUGGUCAGAUUACCAAAUAGCAUCUUAUUGUGCCAUUGGAAUUAAAUUUCAAAAACCCUAAACCCACAAUUUUUGAGCCAGCCAGAAAAAUACCACCUUUGCUUGCAAAUCGUAAUCAGAUUACGAAAUAGCAUCUUAUGUUUUAAAUAAAAAAAAAAAUCAAAAAGCUUGGACAGCUCGUGAACAAUGCAAAACAACAUUUAGCCCAAAUUUUUUCUCAACAGCCAAACAAAUUGUUAAAUGGAAACUCACCUGCGAUUACUCCAAAAGGAAGACGAAGCUCCACCGCCGAUUCCAGAAACCACCCAUGAAAAUGCAGGCAAAAGGAGAGAAUAGGGCAAAAAGCGAGGAAGUCAGCGUUUCCCCAAAUUUUUGAGUCGGGUCGUGGGUUUUGCAAAUCCUAACUCUAAAGCUUAAUAUUUUUGUGUUCAAUUAUUAAAAACACAACUUCCCGUGCUGACACGGAUAAGGAGAUGGCUGCUGACAUGGUAGGCUGGAGGGGUAAUUUUGGAAAUG
rnacentral:lncRNA from 1 species